UAGUUAGUUUUGACGUGAUUCCAAAGUUAGCUUCUUCAUGGUGUUAGAGCUGUAGCCUAGCAGCUCACGCAUGUCUACCUCGCAAGCUUUAAUUUCUCAUCCUUCUAACUCUUCUUCUUCUCAAAACGUCAAUAUGUACCUCCCAAAUGCUACCCAGUUUCUCUCCAUUAAGCUUAUUUCCAGCAAUUUUCUUUGUGGAUGGCUCAACUUAUGCCCCUCCUGUACAGCUACAAUUUAGCUGAUCACGUUAUUGAUUCAGUUUGUCCUCCAAAGACUCUCGAUAGUGGUGAUCCCAAUCCACAGUAUGAAACAUGGUUUCGGCAACACCAACUUAUUAUGAGCUGGUUCUUUUGCUCCAUAUCUGAAAAUCUUCUCCCUCAACUCAUAGGUCUUACAACAGUUAAAGAUGUAUGGAAUAAACUAACUACUAUUUUCUCUGCCGGUUCUCGCACUCAAGUUCAGCGAUUACACAAGCAGUUGAAACAUUUAACAAAGGGAUCUGACUCCAUUGAUGUCUAUAUGAAAAGAGCCAAGUCUAUUUUUGAUUAAUUAACAGCCUUACAAUGUCCAAUUUCUGAAGAAGCUCUUGUUGGUGAUGUUCUUGAAACACUUGGAUCUGAGUAUAGACCUUUCACACGAGCUAUUGAAGCUCGCAACAGCUCCAUUCUGUAUGAUGACCUAUAUGCUCUAUUGUUGAGUGAAGAAACGAUGGAAUCACUAUCAAUUAAUAGGGCCAUUCGGCCCACCGCUCAAGUUGCCACACAGUUUAGUGGCAAUCGAGGUUCUUGAUCCAAUCGUUGUGGUUGCGAUGGACGUCCACCCUUCAAUUCAUCUCUUACGUCUGGAUCUCCCUAUUCCAAUAUCAUCUGCUACAAUUGUCAAGGUCACGGUCAUAUAGCUAAACAAUGUCCAUCACCAAAAACUUCAUCCAACGCUACCAACUAACCGAUCUCCAAUUAUGCCUCUGCAGCUAACAAUCCAAUGCAACCUUGGACAAUAGAUUCUGAAGUGAAUUAUCACAUCACUACAGACCAUCGCAACAUUCAAAUUCCUCAGUCUUAUCAUGGUCCUAGUUCAAUAAUCCUUGGCAAUGGAUAUCUGCACGAACAAGAUUCUCUUCCAAGGCUAAAGUAAAGAUGGUCUCUACACCAUACCUCUUCGACCAACAACUGCUGUUUUGCCUUCUGCCAAUCUUGCUGAAUUCUCUACUUGGCAUGCUCGCUUAGGACAUGCCAAUAAUAGAACAGUUCAUCGAGUUCUUUCUCAUGAUAAGUUGUCAUUCAAUAAUAGUAAUAAGACUUUUUCAAUUCCAUGCAAUGCUUGCGAUGUUAGCAAAAUUCAUAUGCUUCCAUUUCCUGACUCUCAGUCUACUGUAUCUCAACCAUUAGAAUUAAUCUGCUCGGUCCUUCUCCUGUUGAGUCUGUAGAUGGUUUUCAGUAUUAUGUCAUCUUUUAUGAUCAUUUCAGCAAGUAUAGUUGGAUAUAUUUUUUAAAAUAUAAGCUGAUGUUUUGAACAUUUUUAUCCAAUUUCGUCACAUUAUAGAAAAAUACUUUGAUUUGCCAAUAAAAAGUUUCCAAGCAAACUGGCGUGGUGAAUUUUAGACUCUCACUAAACAUUUAAAAGAAAAUGGAAUCAUACAAAGAAUUUUUUGUCCACAUACCACAGAACAAAAUGGUUGUGCAAAACGAAAACAUCAUCAUGUUGUUGAAACAGGACGAGCUUUACUUCACCAUGCCUCUGUCCCAUUAAAGUAUUGGACCUAUGCCUUCGAUAUAGCUGUUUACACCAUCAAUAUAUUACCCUCCAUACAUCACACUAAUUCUACACCCUUUGAAAUUUUAUUUCAUCAGAAACUGAAUUAUGAGGUUUUAAAGGUAUUUGGUUCACUUUGUUAUCCAUGGUUGAAAUCGUACACUAAGCAUAAAUUGGAACCCAAAUCAACACCAUGUAUUUUUUUGGGAUAUAGCAAAUUACACAAGGGUUAUUUUUGCUUGGAUUCUUUUAUUGGAAAAAUUUAUGUCUCAUGUCAUGUUGUGUUUUUUGAGCAGGUUUUUCCCUUUCAUGGCAGUGAUGUGAAUUCUUCCUUGGAUCAAUGUUCUCAGUUGCUGGUGAUGGCCCUAUGGCUUUACCACCAUUUCCUCAAUUAUCACCACCUUCCAUUGAAGCCAUGAAAACCAUGCAAGAUGUUUCAACUCAUGUCUUACCCAAUCAGAACCAAAAAAGUAUUUUGGGCCCUUUACCUACACAUUUGUCAACUCCUAGCCAAAAUCCCUUGCCUACUACACCACGUCAACUUUCCACCCAAAGUCCAUGCCAUCUAGCCACCCAAUCUCCAUGCCACCUAACCACCCAAAGUUCAAGCCACAUGUCCACCCAAAGUCUUCCUCAAACACCAAGACUAGUUUGUAACUCACCUUCCUCACCCAACACUUCAUCUGAUGAUAAACUUUCUUUAUCCCAAGCCAACACGACACUCAUCCAAUUAACCAUGCUAUCCCAAACAGUCCCAUUUCUCCAUCACCUCACCGACUCAAUCUUAUCACAAGAAGUCCACCUACAACCACACUUUUAUCCACAUUCAAAGGGCUACAACUCGUAAUUGAUUGUACCGAAUUUCCCUCUUUAAACACAACCAACCAGUAACCAUCUCGUCCCUCUUCCCAUAACCACAACCCCCAAAAUUCACCCAAUGAUAAUGCGUGCUCAAACUGGACAUCUCAAACCCAAAACCUUCUUGGCUAUUCAUGAUUUGCCCUUGGCACCAAUUUGCUUUACAAAGGCAGCAGCAGAUCCUAAAUGGCGUGAGGCCAUGGACGAUGAAGUAACAGCAUUAGUUCAAAAUAGAACAUGGGAACUUGUUCCUAGAAGUGAUGCUCACAAUAUAAUUGGGUGCAAGUGGGUAUAUCAAUUCAAACAAAAAUCUGAUGGCACUAUUAAUUGAUAUAUAGCUCGUUUAGUAGUAAAGGGCUUCCAUCACUGCCCUGGCCUGGAUUUUUAUGAGACAUUCUCACCAGUUAUUAAACCCAUUACUAUUUGAGUGAUUCUUUCUUUAGCUGUGUCCUGGGGUUGGACAAUUAAGCAACUUGAUGUAUCAAAUGCAUUCUUACAUGGAGAUAUUGAUGCUACAGUCUUCAUGGAACAACCGCCAGGUUUCAUUAACAAAGAUAGGCAGACUAAUUAAUGUAAGUUGAAAUGGUUCCUUUAUGGACUCAAACAGGCCCUUCGCUAACGGUAUCACAAGCUCAUGCAGGCUUUGACGAAGCACAACUUUCGACCUUCCAAUGCUAAUUCCGCUCUUUUCCAAUUUAAAGAUGGCCCAACUUAAGCAUGUUGUCCAGUAUAUGUGGACGACAUACUCCUAACAGGUAAUGACAUGAACUUCCUUCUUCGUAUUAUUUCCUUGUUGCAAUAAGAUUUCAAAUUGAAGGACUUGGGAUCACUUGACUAUUUUCUUGGCAUAGUAGCCACUUUUACUAAUAGUGACCUACUUCUCACUCAAACCAAAUAUAUAACUGAUUUGUUGACAAGAGCUAACAUGGAUGCGUGCAAGCCAAUUUCCAGGCCUCUGUGUACCAAUGCCAAACUUUAUGCUAAUGAUGGUCCUCAAUUUGAUGAUGCCCAAUUGUACAGAAGUAUUGUGGGUGGCCUCCAAUACUUGUCUUUGACUCGUCUGGAUCUCUCUUUUGCUAUUAAUAAAGUCUCUUAAUAUCUUCACUCA